GGAAGCAAACCUUUAUAGGGGGUUGGCGGUUUGUUGAUCUGUUAUGAUUGGGUAGUGAAGCAGGUUGUAUAGGUUUAUGGUAUGUUAUAUGUUUUCUCUGUUGUUUUGAUGCAUAUUAGGUUUGAGUCUUCUGUGUUAAAAAAAAUAUUUUUGUGUUUUGGUGGUUAGUCAUUAUAUUGGUGUUUAUUUUUUUCCUGCGUGGCGUACGGAGAAGGGGAUUAGUGGAGUUAUAUAGGUUGGGGUCUAGAGGUGGUAUAUAUCUUGCGUCUAUGUCUCGUUCUAUAUUUUAGUCCUUUCUGUGGUCCAUUUUUUGUAGGGGGGACGUUUUGGCCUUCACCCUCGACAGAAUCAUUAAAUGACAAUAAAUUUUGACUUUUCCCACUUGAUUGCACCCCUUGUAAUGGCAGGCCGGCAAGAAAAAAAAAAAAAAUGAAAUCACUGAUUCGUGGUUUUUUGAACAUAGCUUCCCGCAAAAACCAAUAUAUAGGAGGUCUUGCCCGCCCAGUGACUAAUUAAACGGUCGCGGUAUUUCGACCGUGGGAAGGUAGCGCAAUCACUUGUUUUUUAAAUGAAGACCUGUAUGAAUGGUGGAUCGAGGGUUUAUCUGUCUCCCCCUUCGAGUCAAUGAAAUUGAUCCGGCCGUGCAGAAGCGGACAUAAAAAUACAAGACGAGAAGGCCCUUUGGAGCUUAAGAUACAAGAUCACAUAUGUCAAGAACCAAAAAGUUAAACUAAACAGCAAGUGAUCCCUAUCUUCGGUUGGGGCGACCGCGGGAGAAAACAAAGCUUCCACGCGGACUGGGGCAACCCCUAGAACCAAGAAAGACAUUUUUAAGUCCCAGAAUAUCUGACCCUUAAGAUCCGGCCACACUCCGACCAACGGACCAAGUUACCCCAGGGAUAACAGCGCAAUCCUCUUCCAGAGUCCAUAUCGACAAGAGGGUUUACGACCUCGAUGUUGGAUCAGGACAUCCAUAAAGGGCCCGCACACAAGGAUCGCGCUAUGAACUUGAAAAAAAA
rnacentral:rRNA from 1 species